GCUUGCACCUUUCAAGCGAGUGGCGAACGGGUGAGUAACACGUGGAUAACCUGCCUCAAGGCUGGGGAUAACAUUUGGAAACAGAUGCUAAUACCGAAUAAAACUUAGUAUCGCAUGAUACAAAGUUGAAAGGCGCUACGGCGUCACCUAGAGAUGGGUCCGCGGUGCAUUAGUUAGUUGGUGGGGUAAAGGCCUACCAAGACAAUGAUGCAUAGCCGAGUUGAGAGACUGAUCGGCCACAUUGGGACUGAGACACGGCCCAAACUCCUACGGGAGGCUGCAGUAGGGAAUCUUCCACAAUGGGCGAAAGCCUGAUGGAGCAACGCCGCGUGUGUGAUGAAGGCUUUAGGGUCGUAAAGCACUGUUGUAUGGGAAGAAAUGCUAGAAUAGGGAAUGAUUCUAGUUCGACGGUACCAUACCAGAAAGGGACGGCUAAAUACGUGCCAGCAGCCGCGGUAAUACGUAUGUCCCGAGCGUUAUCCGGAUUUAUUGGGCGUAAAGCGAGCGCAGACGGUUGAUUAAGUCUGAUGUGAAAGCCCGGAGCUCAACUCCGGAAUGGCAUUGGAAACUGGUUAACUUGAGUGUUGUAGAGGUAAGUGGAACUCCUUGGUGAGGAGCGGG
rnacentral:rRNA from 1 species